GGCAGUUGAAUCAUUAAUUUUGGAUGUGGAACAAAAUUUGGCUCCUUAAUAAUUCAAAUAACUAUUAGAGGUACUAAACGUAUUGGAUGUUAAUUAUAUGUUGGGCGACUUUACAUCAAUAAGACACAGACAUGUAUCAUUUUAUGUCUUUUUUGUGUAACUUAGCCAGCUUGUUCUUGCUAUUUAAGAUUGAUCUGGCUUACAUCUUUAUGUAGGCCGUUCCUACAUCCAGAGGUCAAGCACUUGCUGAUGAAUACGGAAUUAAAUUCUAUGAGACUAGUGCAAAGACAAAUAUGAAUGUGGAGGAAGUUUUCUUCUCAAUAGGCAGGGAUAUAAAGAAAAGACUUUCUGAGAAGGACUCAAAACCUGAGGAUCCAUCCAUUAGGAUUACCCAAGCAGACCGAACUGCAGGGGGUUCUUAUGCAGCGCAAAAGUCGGCUUGCUGUGGUUCUUGAUCAAAUUCUUUGCAUUGAAGGUAGGCCAACCAGUUACAUCCUUCAAAUUAAUCAUUUUGAGGGAGGAAUUAAUGUUAUGAAAAUAUCAAUGUUGCUUGUAAUGUUUUCGUUCUCAUUUAAUAUAGUCUCUACACAACUUUGUCAUGGGAGUAAAUCUUUAUUUGAGAAAGUAAUAGCAUUUAAGUCUUUAUCAUGUACUCGUCAUUGGGUUGACUGAAAAAUUUAGUAAAUUGCUUUUAUUUUAUGGCUGAUCUGAGUGUAAAUUUGAAACGUCUCUA